rnacentral:misc_RNA from 1 species
AUAUCUAUUUUUAAUAUUUCUUUAAUUUUAAUGAUUGUUAUUUUUUUAGUCUUAUACUAUUAUGCAUAUUUUACUUUUGACUCUGAAUUUUAUGCAAAAAUUUGGUAUAACAUUUUGAUGUGGGCCGAUAUUUUUUUAUUCAAAUAAUAGAAUUUGUAUUAUGAAAUUAUAUAAUAAUUAGCAUAGAAGUUUUGUUAAAAUUUAACUGAUAAAAAUUCUUAUAGUUUAAUAUUGUGUUAUUUUUAUCCACUAUAUGUUUUAUGCGCUUUAUAUAUAGAUAAUGCAUUCUAGUUGAUCCCUAAAUAAAAACUUUUUAGUUAUGCUCUUGAGUGAGAUUGCAUAUAUACUGAGUGUACUAAAUAACCACCCUAAAAAAAUAAUGCUUAUAAAGAGUGGUUAUUGUGUUGUCUAGGUAUCAGUAUUGGAGAUGGAUG